rfam:Trichuris suis scaffold7.6, whole genome shotgun sequence.
UAGCCCAUCAUUUUUGUGGAAUGCAGUUAAUUCUUUUGAAAUUGCAUAGUCACAAAAGUGAUGGGCUA